GCUCGGAUGGCGGAACAGGCAGACGCAGCGGACUCAAAAUCCGCCGGGAGUAAUCCCAUGGGGGUUCGAUUCCCCCUCCGAGCA
rnacentral:tRNA from 1 species